AUACGGGGGGUGCAAGCGUUAAUCGGAAUUACUGGGCGUAAAGCGCGCGUAGGCGGUUUGCUCAGUCGGAUGUGAAAGCCCAGGGCUCAACCUUGGAACUGCAUACGAUACUGGCAAACUAGAGUGUGAGAGAGGAUAUUGGAAUUUCCGGUGUAGCGGUGAAAUGCGUAGAUAUCGGAAGGAACAUCAGUGGCGAAGGCGACUGUCUGGCUCAACACUGACGCUGAGGUGCGAAAGCGUGGGUAGUAAACAGGAUUAGAAACCCUAGUAGUCC
rnacentral:rRNA from 1 species